AGUGAACGCUGGCGGCGUGCUUAACACAUGCAAGUCGAACGAGAACGGGAUUAGCUUGCUAAUCUGUCAGCUAAGUGGCGCACGGGUGAGUAAUGCAUAGGUAAUGUGCCUCAUGGUCUGGGAUAACAGUUGGAAACGGCUGCUAAUACCGGAUAUUCCCUACGGGGGAAAGUUUUUUCGCCAUGAGAUCAGCCUAUGUCCUAUCAGGUAGUUGGUGGGGUAAUGGCCUACCAAGCCAAUGACGGGUAGCUGGUCUGAGAGGAUGAUCAGCCACACUGGAACUGAGACACGGUCCAGACUCCUACGGGAGGCAGCAGUGGGGAAUAUUGCGCAAUGGGGGAAACCCUGACGCAGCAACGCCGCGUGGAGGAUGACACAUUUCGGUGCGUAAACUCCUUUUAUCAGGGAAGAUAAUGACGGUACCUGAUGAAUAAGCGCCGGCUAACUCCG
rnacentral:rRNA from 1 species